ACUCAGGCACGCGAUUCAUGUUUGCUGAAUAAAUGAAUGAAGAACGAACAACUGAAGAAGUUCGAUCAUAAAUCAUAAACACGUCUUAAAAAUUAAAUAAAAAAUGGAAAGUUCAAGUAGCACUGCGGUGAAGACUGAAGAGACUCAUGGGAUUAACAGACCACACAUGGCCCAGCAGGACGACAUCAGAUGUUCCUUUCAGCAAUGCCUUACAGCAAUUCACCCAGCCAUCCUUGAGCUAUCUUCUGCCCAGAGCAUCAUAAAUCUACCAGCCUUUGGCACACAGAAGAUUCAGUGAUAUCAAAGAUCAGAUUCUCCUUGAUAAAGAAUGUUUUCCUCCAUGUUGACUUUGCAAACACCUGACUUGAAUGGUAUUCCAGGUAUGGCCUUAUAGUCUCAGUCUCUAGUUCAUGUGGUCUGGGUCAUGCCUGUCUCUCUCAUUCUGGAACAUCAGCUCUUUCCAGGACUUGUUCCCAGUGCAUGCUUCUAACGCCCCCAAGAACUGCUCUGAAAGAUUUUAGAAGCUCCAAAGCUAGUAGCCAAUGCUCUGGAAAAACUUGAACUAUAGAAAUUUCACACUGGCACUGAGCUGCUUCAAAAUCCGCAAUGAAAAAUGAAACUAUCCAAAACAAAUGUAGCAACUCUAAAGCUAAGCCCACAUGAAAGAGGAGAACAGUGUCUGUAGGCCUACUUCCAAAUAUUUGGGCCAGCAAAGGCUCUUCUGACAAGCAGAGAUGAUUUGAGGCACAAAACAAGCCAUAUUUUAAGUCCACAAAUGUUUCCAGACUUUCUGCCCAGCAUGGACACAGGCAAAUAACAUUCAGCCUUUUUCCUGAAGAAUAUAGUCUAGUGAAAAACCAGACAAGCACUAUGGCCCUACUUGACAU